GCCAGCAGCCGCGGUAACACCGGCGGCCCGAGUGGUGAUCGUGAUUAUUGGGUCUAAAGGGUCCGUAGCCGGUUUGGUCAGUCCUCCGGGAAAUCUGAUAGCUCAACUAUUAGGCUUUCGGGGGAUACUGCCAGACUUGGAACCGGGAGAGGUAAGAGGUACUACAGGGGUAGGAGUGAAAUCUUGUAAUCCCUGUGGGACCACCUGUGGCGAAGGCGUCUUACCAGAACGGGUUCGACGGUGAGGGACGAAAGCUGGGGGCACGAACCGGAUUAGAUACCCGGGUAGUCCCAGCCGUAAACGAUGCUCGCUAGGUGUCAGGCAUGGCGCGACCGUGUCUGGUGCCGCAGGGAAGCCGUGAAGCGAGCCACCUGGGAAGUACGGCCGCAAGGCUGAAACUUAAAGGAGUUGGCGGGGGAGCACAACAACGGGUGGAGCCCUGCGGCUUAAUUGGACUCAACGCCGGACAACUCACCGGGGGCGACAGCAAUAUGUAGGCCAAGCUGAAGACUUUGCCUGAAUCGCUGAGAAGUGGUGCAUGG
rnacentral:rRNA from 1 species